rnacentral:rRNA from 1 species
CCCGAAACCAGGUGAUCUACCCAUGUCCAGGAUGAAGGUAAGGUAAUACUUACUGGAGGUCCGAACCCACGCACGUUGAAAAGUGCGGGGAUGAGGUGUGGGUAGCGGAGAAAUUCCAAUCGAACUUGGAGAUAGCUGGUUCUCUCCGAAAUAGCUUUAGGGCUAGCCUCGAGGUAAAGAGUCAUGGAGGUAGAGCACUGUUUGGACUAGGGGCCCUUCUCGGGUUACCGAAUUCAGAUAAACUCCGAAUGCCAUGUACUUAUACUCGGGAGUCAGACUGCGAGUGAUAAGAUCCGUAGUCGAAAGGGAAACAGCCCAGACCACCAGUUAAGGUCCCCAAAUAUAUGUUAAGUGGAAAAGGAUGUGGGGUUGCUUAGACAACCAGGAUGUUGGCUUAGAAGCAGCCACCAUUGAAAGAGUGCGUAAUAGCUCACUGGUCGAGUGACCCCGCGCCGAAAAUGUACCGGGGCUAAACAUAUUACCGAAACUGUGGAUGAACCUCUUUAGAGGUUCGUGGUAGGAGAGCGUUCUAAGGGCGGUGAAGUCAGACCGGAAGGACUGGUGGAGCGCUUAGAAGUGAGAAUGCCGGUAUGAGUAGCGAAAGAAGGGUGAGAAUCCCUUCCACCGAAUAUCUAAGGUUUCCUGAGGAAGGCUCGUCCGCUCAGGGUUAGUCGGGACCUAAGCCGAGGCCGAUAGGCGUAGGCGAUGGACAACAGGUAGAGAUUCCUGUACCAGUGCUAAUUGUUUAACCGAUGGGGUGACACAGAAGGAUAGGGAAUCGCACGAAUGGAAAUGUGCGUCCAAGCAGUGAGUGUGAG